GCUCUGGAAAGUGCGGCCAUAGUGGGUGAUAGCCCCGUACGCGAAAGGAUCUUUGAAGUGAAAUCGAGUAGGACGGAGCACGAGAAACUUUGUCUGAACAUGGGGGGACCAUCCUCCAAGGCUAAAUACUACUGACUGACCGAUAGUGAACCAGUACCGUGAGGGAAAGGCGAAAAGAACCCCGGAGAGGGGAGUGAAAUAGAACCUGAAACCGUAUGCGUACAAGCAGUGGGAGCCUACUUGUUAGGUGACUGCGUACCUUUUGUAUAAUGGGUCAGCGACUUAUAUUCAGUGGCAAGCUUAACCGUAUAGGGUAGGCGUAGCGAAAGCGAGUCUUAAUAGGGCGUUUAGUCGCUGGGUAUAGACCCGAAACCGGGCGAUCUAUCCAUGAGCAGGUUGAAGGUUAGGUAACACUGACUGGAGGACCGAACCCACUCCCGUUGAAAAGGUAGGGGAUGACUUGUGGAUCGGAGUGAAAGGCUAAUCAAGCUCGGAGAUAGCUGGUUCUCCUCGAAAGCUAUUUAGGUAGCGCCUCAUGUAUCACUCUGGGGGGUAGAGCACUGUUUCGGCUAGGGGGUCAUCCCGACUUACCAAACCGAUGCAAACUCCGAAUACCCAGAAGUGCCGAGCAUGGGAGACACACGGCGGGUGCUAACGUCCGUCGUGAAAAGGGAAACAACCCAGACCGCCAGCUAAGGUCCCAAAGUUGUGGUUAAGUGGUAAACGAUGUGGGAAGGCUUAGACAGCUAGGAGGUUGGCUUAGAAGCAGCCACCCUUUAAAGAAAGCGUAAUAGCUCACUAGUCGAGUCGGCCUGCGCGGAAGAUGUAACGGGGCUCAAACCACACACCGAAGCUGCGGGUGUCACGUAAGUGACGCGGUAGAGGAGCGUUCUGUAAGCCUGUGAAGGUGAGUUGAGAAGCUUGCUGGAGGUAUCAGAAGUGCGAAUGCUGACAUGAGUAACGACAAUGGGUGUGAAAAACACCCACGCCGAAAGACCAAGGGUUCCUGCGCAACGUUAAUCGACGCAGGGUUAGUCGGUUCCUAAGGCGAGGCUGAAAAGCGUAGUCGAUGGGAAACAGGUUAAUAUUCCUGUACUUCUGGUUACUGCGAUGGAGGGACGGAGAAGGCUAGGCCAGCUUGGCGUUGGUUGUCCAAGUUUAAGGUGGUAGGCUGAAAUCUUAGGUAAAUCCGGGGUUUCAAGGCCGAGAGCUGAUGACGAGUCGUCUUUUAGAUGACGAAGUGGUUGAUGCCAUGCUUCCAAGAAAAGCUUCUAAGCUUCAGGUAACCAGGAACCGUACCCCAAACCGACACAGGUGGUCGGGUAGAGAAUACCAAGGCGCUUGAGAGAACUCGGGUGAAGGAACUAGGCAAAAUGGCACCGUAACUUCGGGAGAAGGUGCGCCGGCUAGGGUGAAGGAUUUACUCCGUA
rnacentral:rRNA from 1 species